GACGAACGCUGGCGGCGUGCUUAACACAUGCAAGUCGAACGGUGAAGCGCCUUCCUUUUUGGUGGGUGUGGAUGAGUGGCGAACGGGUGAGUAACACGUGAGUAACCUGCCCCCUUCUUCUGGAUAACCGCAUGAAAGUGUGGCUAAUACGGGAUAUUCUGGGUCUGUCGCAUGAUGGGUCUGGGAAAGAUAUUGUUUCGGUGGGGGAUGGGCUCGCGGCCUAUCAGCUUGUUGGUGGGGUGAUGGCCUACCAAGGCGGUGACGGGUAGCCGGCCUGAGAGGGUGGACGGUCACACUGGGACUGAGACACGGCCCAGACUCCUACGGGAGGCAGCAGUGGGGAAUAUUGCACAAUGGGCGCAAGCCUGAUGCAGCGACGCCGCGUGAGGGAUGGAGGCCUUCUGGUUGUGAACCUCUUUCGCCAGUGAAGCAGGCCUGCCUCGUUUGUGGGUGGGUUGACGGUAGCUGGAUAAGAAGCGCCGGCUAACUACGUG
rnacentral:rRNA from 1 species